rnacentral:rRNA from 1 species
CCCUUAGAUGUUCUGGGCCGCACGCGCGCUACACUGAUGCAUUCACCAAGCCUAGCCUUGACCGAGAGGUCCGGGUAAUCUUUGAAACUGCAUCGUGAUGGGGCUAGAUUAUUGCAAUUAUUAAUCUUCAACGAGGAAUGCCUAGUAAGCGUGAUUCAUCAAAUCGCGUUGAUUACGUCCCUGCCCUUUGUACACACCGCCCGUCGCUCCUACUGAUUGAGUGUCUCGGUGAAUUCUUUGAUCUUCUGUCGAUUCAGUUCACUGAUCCGACGGUGGAAAGUUGAAUGAACUUCGUCACUUAGAGGAAGGAGAAGUCGUAACA